rfam:Eimeria necatrix Houghton genomic scaffold, Enh_scaff2032
UCAGUGGCACUUCUUAGUGCCACAAACAAUAUAUAUCAGAAUUUCG